AACGAACGCUGGCGGCAGGCUUAACACAUGCAAGUCGAGCGGGCCCUUCGGGGUCAGCGGCGGACGGGUUAGUAACGCGUGGGAACGUGCCUUCUGCUUCGGAAUAGCCCUGGGAAACUGGGGGUAAUACCGGAUGUGCCCUGAGGGGGAAAGAUUUAUCGGCAGGAGAUCGGCCCGCGUCUGAUUAGGUAGUUGGUGGGGUAAUGGCCCACCAAGCCGACGAUCGGUAGCUGGUUUGAGAGGAUGAUCAGCAACACUGGGACUGAGACACGGCCCAGACUCCUACGGGAGGCAGCAGUGGGGAAUCUUAGACAAUGGGCGCAAGCCUGAUCUAGCCAUGCCGCGUGGGUGAUGAA
rnacentral:rRNA from 1 species